UACGUAGGGUGCAAGCGUUUGUCCGGAAUUAUUGGGGCGUAAAGAGCUUGUAGGCGGUUUGUCGCGUCUGCUGUGAAAUUUCGGGGCUCAACCCCCGAACUUGCAGUGGGGUACGGGCAGACUAGAGUGUGGUAGGGGGAGACUGGAAUUCCUGGUGUAGCGGUGAAAUGCGCAGAUAUCAGGAGGAACACCGAUGGCGAAGGCAGGUCUCUGGGCCACUACUGACGCUGAGAAGCGAAAGCAUGGGGAGCGAACAGG
rnacentral:rRNA from 1 species